rnacentral:rRNA from 1 species
GUCUAAGUUCCUUGGAACAGGACGUCACAGAGGGUGAGAAUCCCGUAUGUGACCGGCCGCCACGCCCGUGUGAAGCUCCUUCGACGAGUCGAGUUGUUUGGGAAUGCAGCUCAAAAUGGGUGGUAAAUUUCAUCUAAAGCUAAAUAUUGGCCAGAGACCGAUAGCGCACAAGUAGAGUGAUCGAAAGAUGAAAAGCACUUUGAAAAGAGAGUCAAACAGUACGUGAAAUUGUUGAAAGGGAAGCGCUUGCAACCAGACUUGCCCGCGGGUGAUCAGCCGGUAUUCUUACCGGUGCACUCGCCCGUGGUCAGGCCAGCAUCGGUUUGGGCGGCUGGAUAAAGUCCGCCGGAAUGUAGCUCCUCUCGGGGAGUGUUAUAGCCGGAGGUGCCAUGCAGCCCGCCCGGGCCGAGGACCGCGCUUCGGCUAGGAUGCUGGCGUAAUGGUUGUAAGCGACCCGUCUUGAAACACGGACCAAGGAGUCUAACAUCUAUGCGAGUGUUUGGGUGUCAAACCCAUGCGCGUAAUGAAAGUGAACGGAGGUGGGAGCCCUGAAGGGUGCACCAUCGACCGAUCCUGAUGUCUUCGGAUGGAUUUGAGUAAGAGCAUAGCUGUUGGGACCCGAAAGAUGGUGAACUAUGCCUGAAUAGGGUGAAGCCAGAGGAAACUCUGGUGGAGGCUCGCAGCGGUUCUGACGUGCAAAUCGAUCGUC